UUAAAAAAUUCAAUAGGUGGCGCAGUAUCCUAGUCAGAAUCCCUACUUCGAAGGCGGGGCUAAAAAUCCGCUAAAGGGCACAUCGAUGAAGUUCCUGGUUUCGGCUGCCGACGCCCAGUCGGGGGUCGGGGCUGGGAGUAAGGAGGAAGGGCGAUCUACAAUGGCAUGUAGGCGUUGACCCAGCCUCCGUGGAGGCCUGUAAUCCGGACGAUAAGAGAUUCGGGUUACAGGAUAAACCUACAAGAGAUUCUGUUUUUGAAACAGAGUCGAGUGUAGCGUAGCCUGCCUUGAGUGGUGUUGGUGGAUUACGGGUUAUCAGGCGCUUUGGAUUCGGGCCCGAUUCCAAAGGGCUUGCUGUUUGAAACCUCCACUGCAAAAGAGGCUAGAAGUAGUUCGUUUCUGUCGAGGAAAACUCCUAGGCUGUUCAACCGGACGGUUGAGGUGCGCUGGGGAUUAAAGUAUGGACUCAGUGGUAAUCCAGUCCUGUACAGGGCGACCGUACAGAUUCGUCAUAAAGGGAAACCGCCGACAUGGCAACGUGUCGGAGACGGAUGGGAAAACCUACUGGACCUAAGCCAUAACAUUUACUCAGCGUAUUGCCACCUGACCUUACAUAUCU
rfam:Thermincola sp. JR, complete genome.